rnacentral:rRNA from 1 species
CCUACGGGAGGCAGCAGUGAGGAAUAUUGGUCAAUGGUCGGGAGACUGAACCAGCCAAGCCGCGUGAGGGAUGAAGGUACAGAGUAUCGUAAACCUCUUUUGUCAGGGAACAAAGUCGGGGACGUGUCCCCGGAUGAGUGUACCUGAAGAAAAAGCAUCGGCUAACUCCGUGCCAGCAGCCGCGGUAAUACGGAGGAUGCGAGCGUUAUCCGGAUUGAUUGGGUGUAAAGGGUGCGCAGGCGGUCUGUUAAGUCAGCGGUCAAAGCCCGGGGCUCAACCCCGGCCCGCCGUUGAAACUGGCAGUCUCGAGUUGGAGAGAAGUAGGCGGAAUGCGCGGUGUAGCGGUGAAAUGCAUAGAUAUCGCGCAGAACUCCGAUUGCGAAGGCAGCAUGCCGGCUCCACACUGACGCUGAGGCACGAAAGCGUGGGUAUCGAACAGGAUUAGAUACCCGAGUAGUC